UCCAUCUUGUGAUGAUACAUCUUUGCAUGAGCGUUAUCAGUGGCUCACUUGGUGCUCUUUCAUGAUUGAACAGGCCUUCAUUGAGAAUUUUUUCUGUACAGAUUUGUUUCUCAAUACGAAUCUCGAGGAAUAAAGUUAGCUGUUUGACAUCCUUGCAGAAAAUAUAAUGGUUUCCAAUUAGUAUAUGAGAUUGAGUUGUGUCAAAUAUGUUGUCUUUAGGAUUCCCUUUUUCUCGGUUCAAGUAAUAAAGGGAGCAUACAGCAUAGGAUUUGAGAUCGUCAGUAUGUGUGUUGUCCUAUUUCCCAAACUACCAUCUUUAGUUGAAUAUUUACAACUAUUAUAACAUUCACAUAUGAUAGUUUGAGGGCGUGCAUAAUAACCAUUUGUGUUUUUAUAGCAGGGCACUAAACAUAUGGAAGCUACAGCCUGUACCAUACUGCUUUUGGAAGAGUGGCCACGUAUUGUAAACUACGGGGAACUCAGAUAAUUAGAUGGAUAAUUCAUGCACAGCUCAAGGAAGAGAUGAAAAUAGCAAUAUGAAGAAGUUACCAAUCUGAUGAAAUGAGAUGCAUUCUGAUUUGAGAGAGAAGCAGAUCAAACAUGUUAAUUUGAUUAUACUACAGUUGAGUUGUGUAGUAUUUGGUGCAUAGUUCGAGCUGAAGUGUGUAUUAAGAGGUUGCAUAUAUGUACCAUAUACAAUACUAAAUUAUUAAUGAAAAUCUUUUCAGCAGCUA